UUUUCCAGUUUCUGGCAGUGCAGCAAUAAUCACGGUUGUAACUAAAUCCUUCUUUACAAGAAUUCUAAAAAGAGACUUUUACAAGAGAUGACACUGAAGGUCUUGAAAACAUGUUUUGGAGCCUUGGAAGUCCAAGAUCAGGGAGCUGGCAGAUACAGUAUUUCAGUGUCUGAUGAAAGCCCGCUUCUGCCUCAUGGAUGGCCAUCUUCUUGCUAUGUCCUCACAUGGCAGAAGAGCGUGUUCUCAAACCACCACUACCACCACUGGUGGCAGCAGCAGGAGGAGCAGCAGCAGCAGCAGCAGCAGCAGUAGUCGCCUCAGGGAAUUUCGCCUCCACCCUAGUCCUGCUGAAUCGGAAUCUGCAUUUUAACAAGAUCCCCAGCUGGCUUGUCACUGACUCCAUUACUGGUGCCACUGCUGCUCUUGGAAAUGGUGCUGUUACUGUGGUUGAGUAAAGAGGACGAUGUUUCCCAUAGAAAUGAUUUGCACAACCCUAAAAUGUAUCAUGAAGAUCCAAGCUGACUUGCUGUGGAGGAAAUUAUAGUGGGAAGCCCAGCACUUAUUCAGCUUUCCCACCUUAAGCAAGAGUCUUUGAAUCUCUUCUUUGGAGUUUGGGUGAAGUAAGGAUGCACAACAGACAUGUACCUCAGAGAGCUCACAAGAUGUUUUAUUUGGGUGGUGGGAGAAAAUGCUAGUCAUUGCACAUUGUAUUUCCCCUCAUCUUUUGAAAAAAAUU